GUCGCUUUGGCCGAGUGGUUAAGGCGGUGCCCUGCUAAGGCAUUGUGUUCUGCACGCGCAAGUUCGAAUUCCCUCAAUGCAAGAGGCA